AGCGCAGGCUGCCAGAUAAGUCAGAUGUGAAAGCCCGGGGCUCAACCCCGGAAGUGCAUUUGAAACUGUUUGGCUUGAGUAUGGUAGAGGGAAGUGGAAUUCCAGGUGUAGCGGUGAAAUGCGUAGAUAUCUGGAGGAACACCGGUGGCGAAGGCGACUUCCUGGACCAAUACUGACGCUGAGGCUCGAAGGUGUGGGUAGCAAACAGGAUUAGAUACACUGGUAGUCC
rnacentral:rRNA from 1 species